UUUAGAGGAAGUAAAAGUCGUAACAAGGUUUCCGUAGGUGAACCUGCGGAAGGAUCAUUAGUGAAUCUUCAAAGUCGGCUCGUCGGAUUGUGCUGGUGGGCAACCACAUGUGCACGUCUACGGGUCGCAAAUCCACACACCUGUGCAUCUAUGACUCUGAGUGCCGCUUUGCAUGGCCCUUGAUUGGACCUGGCGCUCGAGUACUUUUCACACACUCUUGAAUGUAACGGAAUGUCAAUGUUGUGCACAAUGUACAAACGAAACAACUUUCAACAACGGAUCUCUUGGCUCUCGCAUCGAUGAAGAACGCAGCGAAAUGCGAUAAGUAAUGUGAAUUGCAGAAUUCAGUGAAUCAUCGAAUCUUUGAACGCACCUUGCACCCYUUGGUAUUCCGAAGGGUACACCCGUUUGAGYGUCAUUGUAAUCUCACUACCAUCGACUUUGGUCUUUUCGGUAUGUGGACUUGGAUGCUGCCGUUGUUGUCGACGGCUCGUCUGAAAUGCCUGAGUGUACCCCGCUUUGCGGCGUAUUCGGUGUGAUACAUCUUCACCGGAGUUGAUCCUUGUGGUCGCGUCUGUAAUGGUGUGGCUCUAUGCUUCCAACCGUCUCUUUGGUUAGACAAUCUCUGACAAUUUGACCUCAAAUCGGGUGGGACUACCCGCUGAACUUAAGCAUAUCAAUAAGCGGAGGAAAAGAAACUAACAAGGAUUCCCCUAGUAACGGCGAGUGAAGAGGGAAAAGCUCAAAUUUUGAAUCUGGCGUCUUUGACUCCCGAGUUGUAAUCUAGAGAAGUGUUUUCCGUGUCGGACCGUGCACAAGUUCCCUGGAACGGGGCGUCAUAGAGGGUGAGAAUCCCGUAUAUGGCAUGGACUACCGAUGCUUUUGUGAUACACUCUCAACGAGUCGAGUUGUUUGGGAAUGCAGCUCAAAAUGGGUGGUAAAUUCCAUCUAAAGCUAAAUAUUGGCGAGAGACCGAUAGCGAACAAGUACCGUGAGGGAAAGAUGAAAAGCACUUUGGAAAGAGAGUGAAACAGUACGUGAAAUUGUUGAAAGGGAAGCGUUUGAAGUCAGUCAUAUCUGGCGGGAUUCAGCCGGGCUUUUGCCAGGUGUACUUCUCGUCCGAUGGGUCAGCAUCAAUUUCGACCGGGGGAAAAAGGCAUUGGGAAUGUGGCUGUCUUCGGGCAGUGUUAUAGCCUCGUGUUGUAUGCCUCGGUUGGGAUUGAGGAACGCAGCGCGCCGCAUGGCCAGGGGUUCGCCUCUUGACACGCGCUUAGGAUGCUGGCAUAAUGGCUUUAAGCGACCCGUCUUG
rnacentral:rRNA from 1 species